UUCGGGUCGUCUUGCCAUCGGAUGUGCCCAGAUGGGAUUAGCUAGUAGGUGGGGUAACGGCUCACCUAGGCGACGAUCCCUAGCUGGUCUGAGAGGAUGACCAGCCACACUGGAACUGAGACACGGUCCAGACUCCUACGGGAGGCAGCAGUGGGGAAUAUUGCACAAUGGGCGCAAGCCUGAUGCAGCCAUGCCGCGUGUAUGAAGAAGGCCUUCGGGUUGUAAAGUACUUUCAGCGGGGAGGAAGGGAGUAAAGUUAAUACCUUUGCUCAUUGACGUUACCCGCAGAAGAAGCACCGGCUAACUCCGUGC
rnacentral:rRNA from 1 species